GAGACAGGUAGAGAGAGAGGGAUAGAUGGAGGGAGAGGUAGAGACAGGUAGAGAGAGAGGGAUAGAUGGAGGGAGGGAGAGGUAGAGACAGGUAGAGACAGGUAGAGAGAGAGGGAUAGAUGGAGGGAGAGGUAGAGACAGGUAGAGAGAGGGGGAUAGAUGGAGGGAGAGGUAGAGACAGGUAGAGAGAGAGGGAUAGAUGGAGGGAGAGAGAGGUAGAGAGAGAGGGAUAGAUGGAGGGAGAGGUAGAGACAGGUAGAGACAGGUAGAGAGAGAGAGGAUAGAUGGAGGGAGAGAUAGAGACAGGUAGAGAGAGAGGGAUAGAUGGAGGGAGAGGUAGAGACCGGUAGAGACAGGUAGAGAGAGAGGGAUAGAUGGAGGGAGAGGUAGAGACAGGUAGAGAGAGAGGGAUAGAUGGAGGGAGAGAG
ensembl:lncRNA